rnacentral:rRNA from 1 species
UACGUAGGGUGCGAGCGUUGUCCGGAAUUAUUGGGCGUAAAGGGCUCGUAGGCGGUUUGUCGCGUCGGGAGUGAAAUCCACUGGCUUAACUGGUGGCUUGCUUUCGAUACGGGCAGACUGGAGGUAUGCAGGGGAGAACGGAAUUCCUGGUGUAGCGGUGAAAUGCGCAGAUAUCAGGAGGAACACCGGUGGCGAAGGCGGUUCUCUGGGCAUUACCUGACGCUGAGGAGCAAAAGUGUGGGGAGCGAACAGG